CGACUGCUUACUCGUCAGCUGGAGUUGUUUCCAACACGUACAUGUUUGCCACUGCACUAGCGGAUGCGACUUGACCAAAAGAUUUUAACAGCGGUAUAUGGAGACCAGAGUGCUUCUACAACCAAGCGCCGGCUGGCAGAAAUGCGAACAGGAGAGCCGAGCACAUAAGUCUCUCCCUGCCAGUACAUAGCCUCUCCUACAGCAAGCCCUAUGUGGUGCCUCCUCGUGGCGACACAUACGGUAACUGGGCACACCUUGGAC